AGUGAACGCUGGCGGUAGGCCUAACACAUGCAAGUCGAACGGCAGCACAGUAAGAGCUUGCUCUUACGGGUGGCGGGUGGCGGACGGGUGAGGAAUACAUCGGAAUCUACUUUUUCGUGGGGGAUAACGUAGGGAAACUUACGCUAAUACCGCAUACGACCUACGGGUGAAAGCAGGGGAUCUUCGGACCUUGCGCGAUUGAAUGAGCCGAUGUCGGAUUAGCUAGUUGGCGGGGUAAAGGCCCACCAAGGCGACGAUCCGUAGCUGGUCUGGGAGGAUGAUCAGCCACACUGGAACUGAGACACGGUCCAGACUCCUACGGGAGGCAGCAGUGGGGAAUAUUGGACAAUGGGCGCAAGCCUGAUCCAGCCAUACCGCGUGGGUGAAGAAGGCCUUCGGGUUGUAAAGCCCUUUUGUUGGGAAAGAAAAGCAGCAGGUUAAUACCCCGCUGUUCUGACGGUACCCAAAGAAUAAGCACCGGCUAACUUCGU
rnacentral:rRNA from 1 species